GUACGGGGGGGGCAAGCGUUGUUCGGAAUUACUGGGCGUAAAGGGCUCGUAGGUGGCCAACUAAGUCAUACGUGAAAUCCCUCGGCUUAACCGGGGAACUGCGUCUGAUACUGGAUGGCUUGAGGUUGGGAGAGGGAUGCGGAAUUCCAGGUGUAGCGGUGAAAUGCGUAGAUAUCUGGAGGAACACCGGUGGCGAAGGCAGCUCGCUGGGACGUUACUGACGCUGAGACGCGAAAGCGUGGGGAGCAAACAGG
rnacentral:rRNA from 1 species